CUCAGCGCUGCCCCUCCGCUCCCUGUGAGGAGCUGCAGCCGCCAUCAGGCCGCUCCUCUGCUCUGCGCUGAGCAAACACAGCAUGCUACAGAGAGGAGACUAAGCAAGGACAGAGCAACAGAGAGGGGAGUGCAGCAUGUUACUUGUAACAUUGGAGCCUUCUUGGGCAUCUGGACCCAAGUGUCCAAACCUGGCCAUCCUUUUUAUUCUGCCUCAGUGCAGGUCACCUGUGUAGCCUAAGCAUAUUUGAGCAGAACACUACGGUGCACUUUCCCUUACAGAAACAUACACACAUCCACCACAAACAGGAUUGUGCCACCUCCUACCCCGUGUCUUACAACCUCCACAUAAACUGUAUUGAUGAAGUCACAAGGAACACGCUUCAUUCAUCUACAACUUUACUUCUGGGAUAUGUCCACAGCCAACACACAUUAAGCCUGAAGGACAGAGCGUCCCAGAGAUUUUCUCUCUAUCAACAUGCCUGCAACAUUUAAGGUAGAGAAGAGAUACUCCAGAGAGUGCCCCUUACAGGGUAGGAAUAUGUGAAGCCACAGCUGUGUUACUGUCUUUGAAACCUAAUGGUAUCCUGGUCUACAUUAGAAGUGGUAUUACCAGCAGGUAGAGGAAGGUGAUCUCUACCCUCUCCUCUGCACUGAUGAGGCCACGCUGAAUGCCAUACUGGACAGCUGGAGUUGGCUCUGAUCUGGCAUGGAGCAGUUACUGGGCUCUGCUCACAGCAGCCACCCCAGCAGCCGCCACUACUGAAAACACAUUGCAGAAAUCCAAUUGGGGAUAUCAUUAAAAUUAUAUAUAAAUUCCUGAAGGGAGGGUAUAGAGAGGACAGAGCCAAGCUCUUUUCGGUGGUGCCCAGUGCCAGGACAAAAUGCAAUGGGUACAAACUGAAACAGAUCAGGAAGAACUUCUUUACCAUAUGGGUGAUGAAGCACUGGCCCAGGCUGCCCAGAGAGGCUGUGGAGUCUCCUCCUUGUAAAUCUUCAGAAGCUGCCUGGAAGUGAUCCUGGGCACCCUGCUCUGGGUGUCCCUGCUUGGACCGGGGGUUGGAACAGAUGUCCUCAAGAGGUCCUUCCCCCCAAGAGGUAUAUGAAGAUCCCUCAGAAAAAAAACAUCCAAUGGGCUAUUUCUCCAUUAACUUUAUAAUUCUCAAAAGUAACUGAAAGCAGUAUCAAUAGCACCCAAACAUACAAAAAAUAAAAAUAAAAACAAAAAAAAAGGAAAAAAUCCUACCAUGAAAUUCUACUGUAGCAUUUUACAGGUACUCUUACUGAUGUAAGCCACUUCACUACCCAAUGUAGUCUAAUCUUGCACAUUUUAUCCCAUUUACAAAUAAGUCAGUCAACUUCCCCCCAGUAAAACUUUACCUAUCUGAAUGCUAGAGAAGAUGGUAUUUUUCCUUCUUUCAAGGUAGCUUGGAAUAGUAACAGUAUUUGAACACAACAAAUUACAGUGCCUCAGAGCAACAGGAAGAAGUACUUGAGCGGUUUGAUUUAAGGAGCUGCCUACAAAUGGGAACAAAAUAAUGACUAACUGUGGUAUUUCUAAUACAUCUAUUACCUUGACACAACAGAAAAUAUAGAUGUUCUUCAUUUCACAGAUGGAGAAGCUGUAGCACAGAAAAUACCAUUAGUGAUGUGUGAUCAGUGAGUCAGAGUGAAGGAAAGGAAAGAGAUUCGAACACACAGAAAAAUCUAUGUGUUUGAAAAGGGUGAGAGAACAAAGAGCUGUAAAAAGUUUGGCUGAAAGGCUUAUAGUGAUCUUAAUAGGUACUUUGCUAUUUAAAUGCUCAGAAGUGACAAGCUUAGAGAAGUUUUGUACCUGCACUUUUAACUGACUAGAGACAAGUGAUUCUGUUUUCCUUGAAAUUUUCAUAAAUUACCUUGUUUGGAAAUAAAUAGGCAACAAAAAGAAGAAAAAGAAAAGUUGGUGCAAAACAGGCAGAAUGCAAAUAUCUUGAUAUUGUAUAAAUUCUACAGAAACAGCUGCACAUGUUUCCCAGAUAAAUUCAGUGACAAUGGUUUUGAUCUUUGUUCCAGUCUUUUUUAUUUUGUUUUGUUUUGUUUUGUUUUGGGGUGUGUUCAUUUGUUUGUUUGUUUUUCUUACAUAAUAUAACUUACUGUAGCUGCAGUCAGAUUUUAGCUGUUGGAGUUGUACAUGUGAUCUAGCUGUAACAUCAAUCUAGGACCUCUUUUAUUUCAGCUCUUCAGAUAAAGUGUGCAGAAUCAGUAUCAGAUUAGAACUGCCCACUCGUACAGGUAGCAAUGACUAGGCAUAACUUUCUAAAGACUGAAAUCAGACAUGGAAAAUCAUGGUGACAUACUCAACAAGAAACAGAUUGAAAUCAUGAUACACAAGAUCAGUAACAGAGAGGAAACUGUUGCCUUUUGGAGUCAUUUUAGAAAGGAGGAAGCUGUAGAGCUUAUGACAUGGGAGUAGAGAAGUAUAAUGAAAUGCUUUUACACUGUGGAGCUAAAAAAAAACGAUCAGAAAAUGGACACAAUAAGUAAAGCAACAUGGAAAACAGUUUUCACUUCCUAUGCAAAUUUAUAAGAUUUUUCAGUUUACUCUGCUGAGUCACAGUAGGCAGAAUCUCAACUGUACACUCACAAAUGUAAUAUAGGCCAAAAAAAAAAAAAGAUAAGACAGAGCUCAAACCACUCCUUUUCUGUUUCAAUCAUUUUGAAAUGGCAUACUUUUAAAAGUAGAAUAGUUUUCUAAGUGAAAACAUAAUUGGUCAAAAAAAAACCUGUAUUUUUAUUAUUAUCAUUUUUUCAGAUGAUUUUCAUUCAGAUUUUCAUUUCACACAAUGAAAUGCAACCAACCCUUUCCCACAAAUAGUCUUCUUCUUGUCUGAUCUGGUGGUUGGCGACCCUGCACAUAGCAGGGGGGUUGAAACUAGAUGAUCACUGUGGUCCUUUUCAACCCAGGCCACUCUGUGAUACUUAAAUGUUUGAAGCAGCUCCGACAAUUUAGUAAUGUCUUCCAUACCUUAGACCCUAUACUAUACUAUACAUAUGUACAUUAUAUUAUAUUAUAUGAGCUAUACUGAAACAGUAUAUCUUGUAGUAUAUCUAAACAGUAUAUAUAUACUGAAACAGAGCUAUCUUUUUCCAUUCAGGAAAAAGGAAUGCUCCAUCCAGGAGCAUUCUCUCCUUUCUCUUUCAACCAAAAUGUAUUAAUUUUCUGGUCGGUGGCACAAAAACAUCUGUGGAUGUUCAAGUGCAUGAACAAGAGGUAAUUUACUCUUUUUUUUUUCCUUCUGAAUUUGGAUUUGGUGAAGCCAUGCAUAAUGAAAAAUGUUGUAACUGAUACAGCUCAGAUUUCUAUAGACCAGUGAUUAUGGCAGCAAUGGAAGCUGACACCAGUGUAACGUGAUAAGAUGAACUGGUGCCAUCCAGGACUUGGGAGAUAGGGACCUUUUAACUGACAUUUAUCUCUAUCCUCACUAUUUUUCACAUGUAAAUAAUGAAUCCCUGGCAUUACCCUACAACUUUAAUGUAUUCCAUACAUGGAUAAUAGUCUUGUAAAACAGUUCCAUCAGUCUUUGUUCUUGUGUGCACCAAAUAAAUAAUAUUUAGAGGGAAAAAUUGGACUACUCAUUAAACAUCCCUCAAUGUCUUGGGCUGUAAUAACACAAUUUCUACAACAAGAAAAACAUAUUUAUCUUCAUCGAAACCGUCAUCAGUGAGGAGCAGAAAAUAACUGAAAUGCAAUUUACAGUAAAAUAAUCAAGAUGGUUGAUCAGGACAUAUAUCUACCCUUCAGUGGAAUUAAUAAAAACAAAGAAACAGAGCAGUCUAAUAAUAAAUUUGUAGCUGGUGCAAAUAACUCCUUGUUAAAUUUUAAAUCUAUACAAAAAGACCAGGAACUGUAAUCAAAAUCGUAUUAGCAAUUCAAUCUCCAGUUACAGAGUACAGCCCAGCUGUCUACGUGAGUUGGGAAGGGUUUCCAUUUGCUUUGUCUGAUUUUAUGCAGAGGAUGGCAUAGCAUGAAGCGUGACCUUUCAUGGGAUAGUCAGAAAUGGUCAACAGUUUAACAGAUUUAUUAUUCUGAUAUUUACGAACAGCGGGCAGUCUGAGAGUGUAGUAGCAACACGGCAAUUCAAAGGCAGCAGGGUAGGGAAUCAAUUACUGCGGCGGACAGAAAAGGAAUAAAACUUCUCAUCUAUAUCUUGCCUAUUUAUGGUCUAAAGCUAAAUUGGUGAUUCAUUUAACUUAUAACUUCCUCAGUAUAUACCAAACAUUUAGAGACAAGGACUGAUAGAAUUCUGCUCUGUAGGAUCAUAUGACAGAAAGUAGCACUGUUGUUUAGUCCAGAGUCCUUUGCUGCAGCACAUGGUGUAAUAAGCAUUUUAACUGAAGGCAGCUCACAGAUCUACCUGUUCUGCACAAUGUGUCAUGAGCUGAAGGCAGCAGCAGAAGAUCAAAAAUCAGCUGUAGCAUGUCACAAGAAGACAACAGGUAGGCAAUUUAUAGGUGGAAUUGCCAAGUUCCCUUAGGAUUUAAGUAAUACCCUCCUGUCACCCAGGAGAGCAUAAACCACAUUCAAUAAUCACUGACCUUCUGACCUAAGGGAAACUUCCUCUUGCCCUCAGAUCUAGUGAAUACUUUAAUCCUGAUUCUGCAAAUGCUGUAUGUCAGCCAGGCACUUCCCAACUUCUGACCUUGUAACCACAUCAGAAAACUGAGUGAUGUUCCAGGUAAAAGGUGAGGAGCAGCCUCCAUGCCCCAUCAGCAGUGCCCUUGUAUAUGUCAUCACUGCAGCACACGAGGAAUGCAAACAAACAGCAACACUGUGUCCUUCCAAAUAUCUCAAAAAUGCAGUUCACCUGCUGCAUCCUAUAAUUACUUUGCUCUUUCCUGCAUCUGCCUUGGAUGGUGACUCAUUGCUAUUGUACGCUCAUACAAGACUUUCAGGUGCCUUUUCACCACCUCUUACUCCCAGGGUCUUUAGUUUACUGCUAAAGUUCUCAUUAUCAGUCUCUAAAAGCACGGCUUUGAACACUGUGCUAUCCUAUUUCCUUCCCUUUUCAUAAUGUUAUGCUGUCUCUCUUUUUAUUGCUCUAGGGCAGAAGGGCAUCUGUCUCUUUCUACUGACGAAGCCAUCCUUUGGACUGUCAAGAGCAGCUCAUAUUGUUGUUUCUGCAACGUUCACAAGUACUCCAUUUUUCUUACUGCAGGAUGAUCUUGGGCAAGGCAACCCCUAGUGCCUUCACUCAGUCAAACCAGUAGCUCCCUGCACACAAUCAGCAGUAACUGGAGAGGGAGUAGAAACAAGAAACACUGUUAUAGCAGCAGUGGGAUCGUCAGUUAUCUUUUCUUAAAAUAUUUACUCCCUGUCUAUCCUUCAUUAAUUUUCCUGAAGCUAAACCGGCAGUGUACUUCAGCCAUGUGUGAAGCGGUUAAAGUCGUCCUCCGUAAUUUUCUUUCACAGCAUGGUCUGUUGCCAUCUUGUGGCUGAUUUACCUGUGCUGUACUGAAAACGUGAAUAAAAUCAGCGUAUCAAUCUCGGUUUUCUCUUUUGUAAACAACACUGUUUAAGGUACGUGAGAAAGUUCAACCAGAAUUGGAGGAUUUUUAACUGAGUUUUCUGAAACUUCACUCUGGCUUAGUAAUAUUCUAUCAAACUUUCUCCUUUGUGUGUGCAAUUCUUUUUCUUAACUGUAACCCACAUACCGAUUGCCUAAAAAACGUCAUUCUACCUCCUUUUUUCUUUCAUGUUUAGUGAAAUAUGGUUCCAUGACAAUUUUUCAUAGAGAAAUCUUAUUUUUACUUUUUAAUGUACUUUGCUUUUUUUUUUUUUUUUCUGAAAGGAAAAACUCCCCUAACCAGAAUCUAUUAAUUUGUUGAAGUUAAUUCAGCAGGAAUUUGGAUGUGAUCAAUGCAUGAAUUAAUAAACUAUAGAGGCACCAAGAAUCUGUGAUGAUAAAAGCCAUGUUGCAGCAGAACAGUCUUAUUUAUAUGUUUACAUGACCCAUCUGAUAGGACAAUUUUUUUCUUAGAUUUAUCUCCAGGGUACACAUGCAUAGUGAGCAUCUGCACAAAAAAAAGUACUCCACAUUCUGUAGACUUAAAGAUUAAUUACAGUGAUGUGUCCUUUGGCUUAUUAUUAACACCAUUUAGUCACCUAUGGCAUCAUCCAUAUAGAACUAAACCUAUCAGACAUUACUUUGAUUCAGGAAGAGAUGGCUUACUCAGUGAUAUACACGAGUCCAAGACCUGUUUUCCUGAAGAGGAGCAGACUUGGGCAGGCAUUUAAAUGCCUUCUUGGAUGAAAGCCUGUAAGGAGAUCUCUGUUGAUUAUGAAACUGUUCUACUUUGGUGACAGUGAGAAGAAUAAAUCACGAAGUGACUCUAAGUGAUUUCAUCAUUGCUUUGAUCUUGUUCUCUUUCAUAAACAUAUAAAUCAGAUGUAACAAAAUCAAGAGAAAGUCAAUGGCAGUAAAUGAAGUUACACUGUUAGGGAUAGACUUAAUGACAAGAGAAAUCACUCUCUGUUACUACCUAACAGUCUCCCUUAGGAAACCUGGAUUUUAAGGCUUUUCACAAUCAUGCUUAUGUUGCCCAAUUUUGAAUGCUUAACAUUUAAGAGAACGAAGCUGAAGGAAAUUGGUACUGUAGCCCAGGGCGGAUGUCAGCAAUGGCAUACAGUCUGUUAUAUGGAGAUAGGAUUAUAAGAAAGCAGAAACAAGCAUUUCCUUAGUUCGUAGGAAUUAAUGGUGGAAUUUACCCUACCAAACAACUCAUUCUCCCCUCCUACACACACGCACAAUUAAUACCAAAGAUGAAAACACUAUAGGAAUGAAUCAGUGAGGAACGAGGACUAAUUCUAGAGCAAACAGGAUUUUCUAGUCUUGCCCAUCUCUAAAUGAAGGCUGUUUGUGACCCUGUUUGUGACACCUCCACCUAACCUGUUGCUCCUGGGGGUGGCUGAAGCUACUCCCCUACAAGAAAGCAAUGUACAGUUGCACACCUUCAGCAUUUGUGUGGGAAUUGCUGGAAAAAUAUGGCAGCUGGCAACCUUCCCUUUCCUGCAAUCACCUCCAUGGUUGUGGUCAACUGUGUUAUUCAUUUCCUGGCAGGGCCAUGGCCAUAUGAUGUUCGCAGGCUUCCAGAUGGUAAAAAUGAACAGUCCACAGAGCAGAAUAUGUCUCUGGUACAAACUACUCUUUCCUAUUGCUAACCAUUGACACCACUAUGCUCUUCCUGGAGCAGCUCUUCUGCAAUCUUGCAGCUGCAGCACACAAAGCACACGCUAAGCAAAGCACUCAUCCAGAAAAACACUGCUGAUCUUCACAGGAAGCGUAGAUAAAGCAAAGAUUAAUCACUUCCUUUUUAUAGUCCUCUGUACCCCAUUUUGCUUUCAUGUGAAAUUGGGGCAGAGAAAUACUUUUAUUUGCUGGGAAGCAGAGAAAAACUGUGAAACAUUUCCAGCUCGGGUUUCUCAUUCAGCUCUGUUACUCAAAGCAACCUAAACAAUCCCAGGCCUCCUUUCUCACUGCCUCUCCUCCAUCUCUGUUGUGCUACCAGAAGUGUUCAUGCUCUGAGCUCUAUCAGGCAACUGAUCUGCCUGAAAAAUAACCUGGCAAAAUGCACUGUCUAUUUUCAGCCACAUCAGGCCCCUGAUGCCGUUCCCUGCUCAUCUGCAUGAGCUGUAGAAGAGACAGAAAAGGUAACAACAGAGUGAGCAGCCAUGGGAGAAGUGAGUGGGUGGCAGGCAGAAGCUGUUUUCUUUCAUGCAGGAGUACCUGAAAUAUGCAUCAAAUUUCAGCUGUAGAGUCCUUCCAUUUUCAGAAAGCAUUAAGCAUCCUGAAAUCUGUACCUUGGAGAGCUUAGCCCAAUUAGGACUAUGUUUAUAAAGCAAUUUGGGCUACACAGAGAUUGAUUUACUCAAAAAGGGAAUUCAAAAGUGCCUUGACACUUGUCUCCCGUGGAUAUGAGCAUCUGUUCUGAAGUGUAACUGUACUCUCAUAACAAUUCCAAGGGUAAUAACUGCAUUUCCUGAAUAGAGCAAAUCCAGGUCCUUCUGUGCGUCCUGUAGGAUUGUCAGCUUUCCCUAAAUACACAAUUAAUUCUGCCAGUAACAGUAGCAGACACUUAUAUGCCCACACAGGGAGUUGUGUUACAUAUGACUUGCCACUGCAUUUAUUUUUCAGUGUUUUAAAUGAGGACAGGGGGAGGUAAAGCAGCUCACUGGACUGAAUGACCCGUCCUGUAUUCCAGGUGCACUUGUGAUGAUUAGUGCCAAAAAACAGGCAGCAGAAGGAGGCCCUUUUAUAGUCAGCUAAUAGAAAGUCCCUGGUCUAAGCAUGAAGAAGACAGUCUAGAUUUGAAAACAAGGAGCUGAGUUUUACUUCCUCUUUUCUUCAACUAAAAUGUGCCGUCUGAACCAAUCUACAAGCUGGGUCAGCCUUUAAGUUGAACAGGGUUUGACUGAGAGCCUGCAGUUAUGUUCAGUUUAGUGAAGAGUUGUACUGGGAGGCAUUAUGUAUUCAGGGUUCUGGUACAGGAUGACUCCACAUGGCAUUUCUGAAAUGCUGAUAGCCACAGGUAGUAGCUGCGGAACUGGUUCUUGUUCAGCACUACUGUCAGUGCUCCCAUUCUUGGAAUAGUUUGGCUGCAAGUGCCCAGAGGACUGUUCUUGUUCCACUCCUGCUUUUCUGCUUUGUAUUUUGAGCAAACGUUCUUUCUGGGUAACUGCAGGUGGGAAGGUCCCCUGAUUUUCUCCAGGAGCUGCAGGAUACUCAGGCAGAAAUGGACACAGGAAUUGCUACCAGUGAGAAAAAGCUCUGCUCAAAGGAAAAGUGCAGAAGAAACCCUUGGGUCCAGUACCAAACCCUAAUGAAGACUACCAUCAAUUCAAUAAGCUCAGUAUGACACUUUCUUAAUGACUUUAUGCCCUUCGUCAUAAUGCAGCCACAAAACGAAGUGAUAUUCUGAGUGCAGCAAGAAGAUUAAUUCCAACUCUGCGUGCUAAGAGAAAAAUCCACGGCUCUGUCAUUGUGUAAACAAAAAAUGUAAAUAAAGGAAAAAUUAAGAUGUUUAAUUAAU